GUCCCCCCACCCAAGCCCAGAGCCUCCCCGGCCCCUCCCAGCGGCUCUGAUUUCAUUACCCCCCCUCCCCGGGGGCGGGCUGGCAGGUGCGGGGGUGGGAGCCGUCUCCGAGCCAAAGGUCCGGCUGCUGACGUCGGAGCGCCCGCUCCUGUCAAUGAACGGCAGCGGCAGCCUGGGGACUUGUGUGGCAACGAGGCUACAGACGUCAUCGCCUCCUGUUGGACGCGGGGGGUGUCCGAGCUGCAGCUCCGGCUUAAAGGAAAACUCUCCAAGUUCCAGGCAGCCGGGAGAGUCGUUCCUGAGAGCACAUGCACCCCCGAAAGCCCAGUGUGCGCGGCGCAGAGCCUGGCACACGCGCGCACACACGCACACACGCGCGAGCUCACACUCGCACUCCUGUUCUCGCUCGAUGUGCGGGUCCCAACUUGCGGCCGCAGAGACGCUGGGCUGAAAUGGACCGGUCUUCGUUGGUGCCGAGAGUGCUCCACGCGGCUGCCCUGGCGAUCCCGGGGGCGGGGGGCGGGGGGGAAAGAAGGACACCCCACCGGUUGUGAGUUGUCUCCCCCUUUUCUGAGAAGAUCUGCGCGAAACCCAGGGUGCCCGGAGCCUUUGGAAUAUGCCUGCGGAGCGGAGCGGAAGGAGCGUUCUUGGAGGGGUCCCGAACUUGGGCCACCGGCCUCGCUUGGCAACUUGCUUUGCGCAGUUCUCAAUGGAGCCCUGGACCCACCGUGUUCCUGGCCGGUUGGCUUCUUUUUUCCCUCCGUUUCCCUCUCUCUUUUUUAAACGUACCAACUUGAAAGGAAGCGGAGAGCAGAUCCGCGCUUCAGCACACUUUGGCGGGGUGUCCAACCCCAGAGGAAGGUUAGGAUCCAGCCCAGGAAGGCCUCCCAUGUCCGUUUCGAUAGACCUGCGGGAUCCGCCUCCAGAGCUCUGUUCAGCACCAUGUUCCCAUGUUCAAUCCCGUGUAUCUGCACCUGCAUUUCUACCCGGACUCAUGCAAAGCACAGUUUAUCUUGUGUCUGCUCAGAUCAGCUUCUCCUGCUGAGCCCUGCCAGCCUACGGCCACACCAUUCACCGGGUCACCCAACCCAGAAACCUUGGGUCAUUUGUGACGGUUGUGUAAAUUCUACCUCCGUAGUGCCUCGGUCCCCAAGGCACUUACACCUUCCCCGCUGCUGCUGUCCCAAUUCUGUCCCUCAUCAUCUCUCACUUGGAAGACUCGGGCCCCAGCUUGGGUUCGCAUGUUUCUCCUGCGCGCCCUGAACUGCUGGACGGAGUGUUCUAAAAUAAAACACGUCCAUAAUAUGCCCUUGGGGAACCCUGCGGUGGCCGGUGUCCAGGGUCGAGUUUGGCAGAAGGGUCCUUCGUUUGCCCCUCCUCGCCUCAUCACUCACCGCCUCUGACCCAACCCCAUGCUUCAGACCUCUGGGCUCCGGCACCACCUCUCUGUUCCAUCCAUCUCCUCAUCUGCCUGAAGAACUGUCUCCCGUUAAUGGCCACAGAAAUAGCUUCUCCUUUAGGAAUGGUUUCUUAAUUUCCUCAAGCAGAGGUUUUCAUUCCUUCCCACAUACUACCAGUGUACCUGAUACAUUCCCCUGAUUAUUGCAUGAGUUGAUCUGCGUGCCCAGAACAAAAUAAAUGCUUAAGAAAUA